CUCAGAGUUUCUCUCAGCGCCGAGCUUUUGCCCCAGGCAGCGCCAUUCCAGUCAUUUCCUGUUAGGCCUUUUGGCCCCUGCAGUUAGCAGCUUUCUUGGGGAAUACCUGUCAAGUCAAGAUGGCAGAAGUCCUAGCUAACUGCUUGAACCUACUUUCAUCGGUGUCAUCGUGAAGAGAUCAUCGUGAAGAGGUUGUUAUCUCCUCAGCGAGCUAUGCUAUAUAAGCAAGAAGAGCAUUCUUUUCUGGGAACACAACAUAUUUCAUUCAUCUAUUACCUCUUAACUUCUAAUAGUCAAAAUAUCACACCACCAAAGAUAUGGAUAGCAAUUUAUUCAUCAACUACCUUUAACUUUGAUAAGGAGUAUUGUAUUUCGUCACAGCUGAGCCCUCACGUAAGAUUUAAUAUGGUCCCACUGGUGUGUACGUCCAUGAUACAGUAGACACUUCAGCGGUUUUCGGGACUUCAGGGUCAACUUUCAACAACCCAAGUAUUUUAUUCUAGAGGCAUGGAAGUUAGAGAAACUAAGUCUACUUAACAGAAUUUAUCUAUCUUUUCAGCAUUCUUGACAAAAUAAUAAUAAUGAUAAUUUGAUGUCCUAUGGCCUAAAAGCAA